rnacentral:rRNA from 1 species
GAGUUUGAUCCUGGCUCAGAUUGAACGCUGGCGGCAGGCCUAACACAUGCAAGUCGAGCGGAUGAAAGGGGCUUGCUCCUGGAUUCAGCGGCGGACGGGUGAGUAAUGCGCAGGAAUCUACCUCGUAGUGGGGGAUAACGUUUCGAAAGGAACGCUAAUACCGCAUACGUUCUGAGGAAGAAAGCAGGGGACCUUCGGGCCUUGCGCUAUGAGAUGAGCUUGCGUCCGAUUAGCUAGUUGGUGGGGUAAAGGCCUACCAAGGCGACGAUCGGUAACUGGUCUGAGAGGAUGAUCAGUCACACUGGAACUGAGACACGGUCCAGACUCCUACGGGAGGCAGCAGUGGGGAAUAUUGGACAAUGGGGGCAACCCUGAUCCAGCCAUGCCGCGUGUGUGAAGAAGGCCUUCGGGUUGUAAAGCACUUUAAGCGGGGAGGAAGGGCUUGAGGCUAAUAUCCUUGAGCAUUGACGUUACCCGCAGAAUAAGCACCGGCAAACUUCGUGCCAGCAGCCGCGGUAAUACGAAGGGUGCGAGCGUUAAUCGGAAUUACUGGGCGUAAAGCGCGCGUAGGUGGUUGAGUAAGCGAUCUGUGAAAGCCCCGGGCUUAACCUGGGAACUGCAGGUCGAACUGCUUAGCUAGAGUAUGGUAGAGGGGUGUGGAAUUUCCUGUGUAGCGGUGAAAUGCGUGGAUAUAGGAAGGAACAUCAGUGGCGAAGGCGACACCCUGGACCGAUACUGACACUGAGGCGCGAAAGCGUGGGUAGCGAACAGGAUUAGAUACCCUGGUAGUCCACGCCGUAAACGAUGUCUGCUAGCCGUUGGAGGGCUUGUCCCUUCAGUGGCGGAGCUAACGCGAUAAGCAGACCGCCUGGGGAGUACGGCCGCAAGGUUAAAACUCAAAUGAAUUGACGGGGGCCCGCACAAGCGGUGGAUGAUGUGGAUUAAUUCGAUGCAACGCGAAGAACCUUACCUACCCUUGACAUGCCAGGAAUCCCGGAGAGAUCUGGGGGUGCCCGAAAGGGAACCUGGACACAGGUGCUGCAUGGCUGUCGUCAGCUCGUGUCGUGAGAUGUUGGGUUAAGUCCCGCAACGAGCGCAACCCUUGCCAUUAGUUGCUACGAAAGGGCACUCUAAUGGGACUGCCGGUGACAAACCGGAGGAAGGUGGGGAUGACGUCAAGUCCUCAUGGCCCUUAUGGGUAGGGCUUCACACGUCAUACAAUGGUCGGUACAGAGGGUUGCCAACCCGCGAGGGGGAGCCAAUCCCACAAAGCCGAUCGUAGUCCGGAUCGCAGUCUGCAACUCGACUGCGUGAAGUCGGAAUCGCUAGUAAUCGCGGAUCAGCAUGUCGCGGUGAAUACGUUCCCGGGCCUUGUACACACCGCCCGUCACACCAUGGGAGUAGGUUGCUCCAGAAGUAGUUAGCCUAACCGCAAGGGGGGCGAUUACCACGGAGUGAUCCAUGACUGGGGUGAAGUCGUAACAAGGUAACC